rnacentral:RNase_P_RNA from 1 species
GCAGUCGGGCGUUUCGUCGCUCAUCGACGCACGAGCGGUGAGAGGAAAGUCCGGGCAACGCAGAGCACCAUAUUCACUAACGGUGAGCUAUCAGCGAUGGUAGAGUAACGUGACAGAAAACGACCGCCGUGAGUCAUCGCGGUAAGGGUGAAAAGGCGGGGUAAGAGCCCACCGGGCAGUAUGGCGACAUAUUGCGCCGCACGUCUUAUGGGUUGCAAGGCCAAGUAUACCGGCAUUCAAGGGUUGCUCGUCCAUUGCCGGGGGGUAGGCUGCUUAGAUAAAUGACGAAACGUUGCUAUGGAUCCAUCCGUAAUGGAUGAUGAUAUCGUUGCAACGACAUAACUCGGCUUAUAGUCCGGCUGCUUUU